rnacentral:lncRNA from 1 species
UGAAGUUGUAGCUCUUCUAUGAACUGUCUUGAAUAAUCCUGAAAAUAUGCAGAAUGUUUUAAAUGUAAGUACUAUAAAAGACUUAUUACUAUAAUUUGAUAGAAACAUUUUAUCUAAAUGUUUAAAAUCUGGAAUUUUACUUUGUUUUGGCUUAAACACUUGUAUUCUCAAGGUUCAGCGAUCGUCUUACAAUCCGAAGGAUCAUAUUAAACAUUAAUCAUCACAUUUACAACUAUAUGAUGAAAUAUAUAUAUCAAAAAAUUAUGAAAGCUAAAUUCGGAUUAAGCCAUACGUUUAUGGUUCAAGAGAUCAACUUAUACUCGAGGUAUUAUUGUGAUAAAUAAAUUCAUUUACUUAAGAAAUCUGUCAUAAUAUAAACUAAAACUGUUAGAUUGUGUUUAAACUAAAAUAUUAUUGUGAUCUACCAAGAUAUUAUACUACAUGUCAAUGUAGAGAAUCUUAACCAACGUAUAGGUUUAAUCAAUUUUGCUAAAUCAUCCCGCCUUUGCUUUCAAUAAAACAAUUCGAAAUUUUUAGUGGUUCAGAAAGGUUAACGAUAUCUUACAAUCACCAAAAUUCUCAGCAGUCAUUGAACAAGAAACCUAUCGCAAAGUUUUGUAAAUGUGAGAAAAUCAUUCCUAUGGUUGAUUUUACUUCAUUACACAAAUUUUUUUAUGUAGAAGCUUUUACACAGAGAGUUAUAUACAUAAUAAUAUACACAUGUAACUCUUCAUAUGCAGAGGAUGAAAAGAAAAUACUUAACUCCCCAUGGAGUUAGGGGUCAUCAGAAAAGUUCACAAUCUGAAUCUAAGCAAAGACGUCUUUCUUCCCAAACAAAACCUAUCCCUUUGAGUUCUGUUUUUGCAAAACUACUUAAUGAUGUUAGCAAAACAAGCAUUGCACCAAAGUCACAUGAAUAUGAAAAUUUUCCAAACAAACAAGAUAGUUUCUAUUCUAUACUAUACACAUUCGCUAAGAAUAUGCUAAGGAAUUUGUUUCAUUCAACUAAAAUCAGAGUGUUGUUAUUUUGUGUAGAUGUUUUUCACCAAAAAAAUAAUGUCAAGAGUAAUCACAGGACAAGAAGUCAACAGGUAGGAGAAGGUAUGUAUUGUAUACUGCCUGAUUUGCAGAUAUUAAACAUGUAGACUCAUUACGUGAGACACCUAUAACGUAGACCAUUAUAUAAACAUCUAAUAUUUUUUUAUACAUCCAUCACAACUGCGUACACUGGAUCAUGUCCCAGUCAACUCACAUUUGAAAGACAACACAGACAGAUUCCUAAAAUAUAUUCGCCAAACACCAAAAAAUGCCAAAAGAUUCAGGAAUGUCGAGAAAUCCUGAAUCAGAACUGCCUGUUUCAGAGAAUGAUCAAGAGACAUAAGGUAUUUUGUGAUAUUUCUUUUCAUGUAUUUCUCAUAUCAGGUCUGAUACUAAAACUGUUUAUAUAUUUUGCAUAUUUUCUAGGCACCAUGGAUGAAUGUGAUGAUCUAGAAUUUGAAUGUAGUAGUCAAGAAAGGUCUAAUACUGAUGAUUCAAACGAUGAACAGUUUACUGAGCUGGUACAAGAGAAAGAUAACCAGUCUAAACGAGUUAGUGUUCUGGCAGCUCUGUUUAAAAAAUCUUUCACUGAGGUGAAGCCAAAAGUCAAACCAACAUCACCCAAAGAAGAUGGUUAGUUUAAUUAGUCAAUUUAUUAUGAUCUUUUGGUAUAAUAUCUUUCCUAACAUUCUUGCAUCUAAUUAACCAGAUUAUGUUGAUGAGGGUGAUCCAACGGAAUCUUGUGGUUAUUGUGGAGCUAUCAUGUGGUAUGGUGAACGCAUAAGGAAGAGAGAAUAUAGAUGUAAACCUAUAUUUACAUUGUGUUGCAUGCAAGGUCAGGUCCAAUUGCCACUUUUAAAGAAACUUCCUGAUGUUCUAAUGAACCUCCUAACAGGAACUGAUAAGUUCGGUAAACAUUUUCAAAAGGAUACAAGACCAUAUAAUAUGAUUUUCUCAUUCACUUCUCUUGAUGGAAAAGUAGAGAAAUCUGUUAAAAAAGGACGAGGACCACAAAUGUUGGUGCUUCAUGGUGAAAACUAUCAUUUGAUGGGAAAUUUAACUCCACCUGAAGGAGACAAUGCCAAGUUUGGACAGCUAUACAUUGUUGACACAGACAAUGAAAUUGAAAACAGAUCUAACGCUCUUGGGUAACUAAUAUGGUCUUUCUUAUAAGUGAUGUUACGUUUAUUUAUAAGUGUUUUGUAUCAUUCUGAUGAGUUGAAAUUUUGUGUAUUUUUUCAGAGGACGCAAGAAUGCACAGUCAGAGAGAACAGAAUACGGGCUGAAGAAAGACAUUAUUCUACCUAUUAUGAAGAUAUUGAAUGCUGUUAAUCCAUAUGUAGCACAGUUUCGAUCAGCAAGUGAGAGAUUUCGAAUGGAUCCUGAGAAAACUUUCCAUAUGCAAAUUAUCAGUAGAAGUGACAAAGAUGGACGGACAUAUAAUAUGCCAACAGCAUCUGAAGUGGCUGCUUUGAUCCCUGGAGAUUUUAAUUUAGGAAUGGAUAAGCGGGAUAUUGUUCUACAACAUAAGUCUGGUCGGCUUACAAGGAUUGAUGAGAUUCAUAUUUCCUAUCUGGCGCUUCAAUAUCCUAUGCUAUUUGUGUAUGGAGAGGAUGGUUUCAGGGUUGGUAUUAAGAAGGGUCUCACAGAAGCUUCAAAGAAACUAAAAAAAGAUACAAUCAGUAUGAGGCAGUUUUUUGCUUUCCGGAUGCAAGAGCGUCCAAAUGAGUCUCAUGUUCUGCUCUAUUCAAGAAGGUUAUUUCAACAAUUCAUAGUGGAUGCCUAUACUACAAUCGAAAGCAACAGACUGAGGUAUUUGAAGCUUAACCAGACAUGCUUGCGUUCAGAUAGUUAUGACUCUAUCAAGAGUCUGAGAAUGCUGGCAAAUCAGACAUGAAUGAACAAGGUGAACAGUUCCUUCUACCAGCUACUUUCACAGGGGGUCCAAGAUACAUGAAGAAUAUGUACUUGGAUGCUAUGGCCAUUUGUAGACAUUUUGGUUUUCUAGACCUUUUCAUCACCUUUACAUGCAAUCUGAAAUGGCCUGAACUUACAAGAUUUCUUCAAAAGAGAGGCUUGAAUUCAGAUGACAGAUCGGAUAUUAUUUGUCGGAUCUUUAAGAUGAAACUCGAUUCUUUGAUGAAUGAUUUAACGAAGAAGAAUAUUUUGGGGAAGACAUCUUCAUGUAAGUUCUUUUCCAACUCUUUCUUAUUUUAUCAUUUUACUCUUAUACACUUACGAGAAUUCUAGGUUGUUGUUUAUAUUGUCUGGUUUGUUUGAAAAAAAAUAUUUUUUUGUUGUUUUCUUUUUUCAGCAAUGUAUACUGUUGAGUUUCAAAAAAGAGGGUUGCCACAUGCUCACAUUCUGCUUUUUAUGCAUCCUUCCUCCAAACUUUUAAAAACAUAAGACAUUGAUAAGAUCAUAUCAGCUGAGAUCCCAGAUAAGACAUCUGAUCCUGCUCUUUACAAUGUUGUUAAGGAUAUGAUGAUUCAUGGUCCAUGCGGAGCUGUUAAUAUGAAUUCACCAUGUACGGAAAAUGGAGUGUGCCAGAAGAGUUUUCCUAAACCUUUCGCUGAGAACACUACAGUGAAAAAAUAUGGAUUUCCGGUUUAUAGAAGACGUGAGCAAUCUGAUCGUUAUGUUGAGAAGAAUGAUUUGAAAUGUGAUAACAGAUGGGUCAUCCCUUACAACAAGAAACUCUCUCUUCGUUACCGAGCUCACAUCAAUGUAGAGUGGUGCAACCAAGUUGGUUCUAUUAAGUAUUUGUUUAAAUACAUUAAUAAAGGAGCAGACCGUGUUAUUGUUGUUGUCGAACCACCGGGGCCACCAGUAGCGAAUCAAACAGUAUCGAACCCAGAAUCAGUGUACUCAGCAUCACCGAAUUCAGCAUCAGCGAACUCAGCAUCAGCGAACACAGCUAUGGGGCAGGGUGGUGACGUUUUGAAACAAACUGUGCAGAUUAAAAACAAUGAAAUAAGAGAUUUCUUUGAUUCCAAGUGCAUUAUUUAUCUAAGCGGUAUAUAUUCAUAGAGUACACAUAUUUAUUAUGUUUUUAGUCUGAUAUUCUAACUUCUAUAUUUAUGAUUUUUGCAGAUAUGUUUCAACUUGUGAAGGUUCAUGGAGAAUUUUUAAAUUUCCAAUACAUUAUAGAUCUACAGCUGUUGAGAAGCUUACAUUCCACCUACCAGGGAAACAGAACAUUGUUUUCAACGGACAUGACAAAUUAAAGGACAUUGUCAGCCGCAAACUCAUUGAAAACACUAUAUUUCUGGCCUGAUUUGAUCUCUGCAAAGUUGAUGCUUUCGCACGCACUCUUUUAUAUGUUCAGAUUCCCAACUACUACACAUAUUCAAAGAGUCAGAAGAAGUUCAACAGAAGAAAACAAUGUUUCAGUGUUGGAAGAAUUAAUUAUACUCCACGUAAGCAGGACAGUUCUUACUUUUUGAGAGUGUUGUUGAACAUUGUCAGAGGUCCUACCAGCUAUGAAGAUUUUAAUACUUAUGAUGGUGUUCUUUAUGAGAGUUACAAAGAAGCAUGUUAUGCUCCUGGAUUAUUGGAUGAUGACCAGGAGUAUAUAAAUGAUCUGGUGAGGCGCAGUUAUGAUAGUUCUGCUGGGGUGGUUCGUGACCUGUUUGUUCUAAUGCUUCUGUCAAAUAGUUUGAGUCAACCAGAGGUGGUUUGGGCAUACACUUGGGAACUUUUAGCUGAAGAUGUAGAAUAUAAUCACAGAAUUCAACUCAGUCGGCCAUGUAUUAUUUCUAACAACUUAUGAUAGUAGUAACUAUAUUUUGACAUGUUAAACCGAGAUAUGUUAUUCUACAUUAGUUAGAUUAUUAAAGCAUCAUUUGAGAUUAUAUUUAAUCUGAUUGUACAUAGUCGUCAUUUUUUUUUUUAUAAUUUUUGCAGGACUUAUAUUAAGCGACAAUGACAAGAAACUAUAUGCUCUUAUAGAGAUUCAGAAGCUUAUGAAAAAGAAUGGGAGCUCACUUUCCUUAUAUGAAUCUAUGCCACAGCUUCCUGAAAACGCCAAACCGACGGAAAAUGUUUUGAUCUUGGAUGAACUAAACUAUGAUCUUGAAGAAAUGCAAGCUACUCAUGAUAGAAAUCUUCCAAAGAUGACUGAUGAGCAAAGGAAAAUCUAUGAUGAGAUUAUUGGUGCAGUUGUUCAAGAGAGAGGCGGGAUGUAUUUUGUUAAUGGGUUUGGUGGCACUGGAAAAACCUUUCUUUGUCAAUUUCUCUCAGCUGCAGUUAGGUGUAGGGGAGAUAUAGUGUUGAAUACUGCAUCUAGCGGAAUUGCUUCUCUGUUGUUGCAAGGUGGUAGGACUGCACAUUCCCGAUUUAGCAUUCCGAUCAAUCCAGAUGAGUUUACUACAUGUGCAUUGCCUCAUGGGUCAGAUAAAGCUAAUUUGACAAAGGAAGCAUCACUAAUUAUUUGGGAUGAAGCACCAAUGAUGAGCAAGCAUUCUUUUGAAUCUUUAGACAGGAGUUUAAAUGAUCUUAUGGGAAAGCACGAUAAAUUACCUUUUGGUGGAAAGGUUAUUGUGUUUGGAGGUGAUUUUCGACAGGUACUUCCUGUUAUUACUGGAGCUGGUAGGGCAGAGAUUGUGUUGGCUGCCAUGAAUUCAUCAUAUCUCUGGGAACAUUGCAAGGUUCUGAACCUAACUAAGAAUAUGAGAUUGUGUUCAAACAAUCUGACGGAUGCAGAGGCCAAAGAUCUGGAAGAAUUUUCUGAGUGGAUUUUAGCUGUUGGGGAUGGGAGAAUAUCAGAGCAUAAUGAUGGGGAGGCAUUAAUUGAUAUUCCAGAAGAGUUUCUAAUUAUGGAUCCAAAGGACCCUAUAGAAACUAUAAGUCGUUCCAUCUAUGGAGAUACUGAUUCAUUAAGAGGUAUGAAAGAUCCUAAGUUUUUCCAACAGAGACCAAUCUUAUGUCCAACAAAUGAAGAUGUUAACAUGAUUAAUGAUCAUAUGUUAGAUAAGCUUGAUGGUAAGUCAGUAAUUUUAUUUUAACACUUUCGUUUCAUUUGUAAAUAUGGACACUAAUUGGAAGUGUUUUUUUCCAUCAGGUGAAGAAAGAACUUAUAUUAGCUGUGACAGUAUUGAUCCAUCUGAUCUUACUUCAGCCAACAAUGCGGCUCUCAGUGGCGACUUUCUUAACAACAUUAAAGUUUCAGGACUACCAAACCAUAGUCUGAGAUUGAAGAUUGGAUGUCCUGUUAUGUUGCUUAGGAAUAGCAAUCCUACCGAAGGUUUAAUGAAUGGAAAAAGAUUGCAAAUAACUCAACUUUUGGAUCAUAUGGUGGAAGCUAGAAUCAUAACUGGAGAGAAGGUUGGUAAGACCGUUUAUAUUCCAAGAUUGUUGAUCACACCAACGGAUAAAAGACUUCCUUUCAAAAUGCGUAGAAGACAAUUGCCUUUGGCUGUGGCAUUUGCUAUAACCAUCAACAAAAGUCAAGGACAAUCACUUUCUGAAGUGGGAUUAUUUCUUCCUAGGCCAGUAUUUUCUCACGGACAGCUAUAUGUUGCCAUUUCAAGGGUAACAUAUAAGAAAGGUUUGAAAGUUUUGAUUAUGGAUAAAGAGGAGAAGCCGCAAAAGAAAACUAUGAAUGUUGUUUUCAAAGAGGUUUUCAAUAACCUUGAGAACAGAGAGGAGGAAUGAUAGUCCUUUUAAAGCUCAUGUUUUUCUUUGUUAGUGUGCGUUGUGAAACUUGUGUUUGGUAUUUCGAUUUUUUUAUGUUUUCAUGGACUACAUUUAUUUGAAGUUUUCUGAGUAAUUUAGUCAUAAAUAAAAGCAUGCGUUAACCUAUUGAUCCAAAAGCAAUAGCAGUAUAGUCAUUCAGCAAACAAAACUAUUCAAUACAAACCAAUCUAAAAUCUAAGACAUUACUUCCACAUAUAGAGCAAUAAACCGCGGGAGAACCAAAACCAGAUAUGCAAUAAACAUUCUUUUAAUAUAAACGACAGUCAAAAUCAAUCUUAAAUCUAAGCAUUUGUACAAUCCUAAAAUCGAUAGUCCUAUGAUGAUUCUAUAUUCCAGUGUCACGUUUGAUCAAGAAACAUAAUACAAGAUAGUACUAACCUUUGUGCUGCGAAAUUGGUUGUAAGUAACUGUCCCCAUGCUGUCUUUUUGAUUGCUCUUCUUUUCCAUCUUUAUCAAUGAUCUAAUUAAUAUAACGAAACAUGAGUUUGAUCUGUUAGAUUAUUGUGCCAACAACAAUUAAAAAGCAACAAUAAGAGAGAGUAUAAAGAAGAACAAGAUAAUAAAGAAGAACUAAAUUGUAUCAUAAACAGAGUCCACUGAGAAAACAGAGA